AUGCAACGCAUCCUCUCCGCGCCGGUUGCUAUGGGCACUGGGCUGUUUGAGCCUCUGUCUAUAAACAUUAACCACGGAGGGGAUGUGGAAACUUGGCUAAAAAUAAAAUACUACACCCCAGUCUUCAAGGGGAAGGUCGCCGAGACAGAAAUACAAGAAAAUAAUCCUUGUGCCAUGGCUCUGAAGCGGCGAGGCACAGACACGGCGUCCGUGAGCGCAGGAAAAAGAAACCGGGGCCGGGCUGAAAAGAAACCGACACUUUUAAUUCCCGUUGAGCGAUGCCGGGAGGGUGAAUUACAACCAUGCACAAGCAAGAGGGAAUUGGGCUGUUCUGAGAGAAGCGAGGACCCUCUCCGGAGGGGACGGCACGACGCGGGGACGAGGCACUGUGCCAGGGUGGGACCAGGACUGAUCCCACAGCCCCCUUCCCCGCGCCGCCGUCCUCUGCCGGGAGCUUUACGCUGCUUUUUUGCUUUUUUUUUUUUGGUCAUUUACAGCUUAUUUCUCAUACUGUUCUGGGAAUCUGUAAACACUGAGUGUGGGGCUGGAGCCUCAGCCCUGGGACCGUCCCGUUCAGGGCCGGAUCCAGCAGCAGGGCUCGGGAUGAGCCCAGGCUGUAUUUGGUCCCAUCUCGCGGGCAGUGAAGAACAGCUGGAAGGCACUGGGUGGUGGGGAAGGGGGGCAGGAGACCCUGGGGCAAAGCAGGGGAUGGAUGGGGUUUAUCCCUGGGGUGCAGAGAGGGAAGGGGCACCGGCAUGGCCAGGGCCAGGUCCAUCGGGUACCCGAUGGGAACUGGCUCUUCCCCUUGGUCUUCUCUGCUCCCAGAGUGGUUUCUUCAUGCUGGGGCUUCCCCACGGGAUAGCUGCCAUCCCUCUGCUGUCCCCAGGCAGUGGUUUAGGUAGUGCGUUCACAUCUCCGUGCUCUGCAGUCCCCUUGGCAAGCAGCACAGAGAUGCUACAGGGCUCUGCACCGCUGGAAAACCGCUGUCGUGGUCGGGGAGGUUUCACUGCUCCAGAUAAGAAGGGUUUGGUGUUGGCUUUGCAGCAGUUGCCCCUCUUCCUCACCUGGCAGCAUUUGAGAGCCCCGGGGGCACCAGGCCGUGCCUCUUUGGCAGCGUCUGCUUGCAAAGGUGCUGCGGGGCUAGGGGGGAUCGGCCCCUCCGCGGUGUCAGCCUGCGGAGCGAGCGACGAGAUGAAGUGA
rnacentral:lncRNA from 1 species